ensembl:lncRNA
GUGGGUAGGUGGAUAGUUGAACGAACAGACUGCAGACUGAGAGGCACAUGUGUCCUGCACUCAAUGGGGGAUGAAGCUCUAGUGUAGGCAGCAAAAUGUCAAAUGAAACCAGCGUGUUGUCAUGCUGAUUUUUAUACUGGGGUGGGGAUUAGGUUUGGAGAUAACUGUGUGCCCUGUAAUGUGCCUUACAUCUGGGACCAGGGAGAAACGAAUGUCUGUACCCCUCUUAUGUGCCAUCAAUAUCCACAUUAAUACAUAUAUGAUUUUUUUUUCGUCUUGCCUUUGUUUUAGUCGCUGAAUCACCCUGCUCACUGCAGCUAUUAUGCCUCAGUUAAUCAAUAUCCUAAAGGGAUCCUAAAGAGUAACUAUUGUAAUGUAUACUGCAAAGCUUGUACUGCAUUUUCUGUCCUCAAUGUUUAAGGGAGGAGUUAUAGCUUGCUUAUUAUUAUCAGCACUCUUUGCUAGUACAGAGCAAGUUAUAGGACUCCUAAUCAGGUGAAGAUAUAUUUGUGUUAAGUAUGUUGUUUUGCUUUUGUUUUUGUUUGUUUCAUUUUUCCUCAAGCAUUUUAUUUUUUUUGUUCUGGUGCAAUUGUUUACAUUUUCACCAAAGAUAGUUUCUAGACUGCAAUUCUACUGGAGCAUAUUCACCACUAAACUAUAUUUUAAAAAAAUAAAUAAAUGUCCGCUACACAGUAACACGAUCCUCAAAAGCCACGCGAGGCAUCUGAAAAAGAGCUCUUUGUACGAUCAGUCCAGAAAAAGUAGCCAUUAAACUUUAUACUUCUGUACAUUACAAAGCAAUCCAUAAUCCUGACAAAAUGUUAUGGCAUAAUGAAUUCAGUUUUUUUUUGUUUUUUUUACUUGUUGAAUGGUAAAUACUGUACAUGUUUGCUAUUUUUGUCCUAGUAGAUGCCUUCUCUCGCAUACUUCUUCACACACACCUGCCUUAGACAAUGUACCUUUCAAAGGGUCUGGUUGUGAUUUGUUUUUCACCAUCAGGGCCCGGUGAAAUCUUUAACUGUAAUUUAACAUUUGCAUCCUUGCAUGUAUUGUUUCCAUAGUCAGUCAAACUAAUGAUGAGCUUUGUUUGAUCAGCAUGUGUAACGAAAACUGUCACAGAAAGAAAUGUUCUCAGAAAAUUCCUGAUUUUCUAAACAUCUGCUACACAGUUGCUUUUCGGGGGGAAAUGUUGUAUUGUUUGUAUGUAACUGACAUGUUCAAGUCCAUCAACAGGAAGAAAGUGUACGUUCUCUGUUGUGACUGCUAUAUUCACACUUUAAAGACACUAAGGAGUGCCUAAGAGUUCUGUAAGUUUUUUUAUAAGCUCCUGAUUGCACUUUUCUAACACUGAUUAAAACUCUCUGUGUAGUGAAGCAAAUGCACGGGCUCUGUCUUUCUGU